AUGAACGCUGGCGGCGUGCCUCACACAUGCAAGUCGAACGGAGUCCAGCCUUUAAGACCUUCGGGUCAAAGAGGGGAAGACUGAGUGGCGGACGGGUGAGUAACACGUGGGCAACCUGGCUCAUAGAGGGGGAUAACAGAGAGAAAUUUCUGCUAAUACCGCAUAAGCACACACUGCCGCAUGGCAGAGGGUGAAAAGAGAAUCGCUAUGAGAUGGACCCGCGUCUGAUUAGCCAGUUGGCAGGGUAAGAGCCUACCAAAGCGACGAUCAGUAGCCGAUCUGAGAGGAUGAACGGCCACAUUGGGACUGAGACACAGCCCAAACUCCUACGGGAGGCAGCAGUGGGGGAUAUUGCACAAUGGGGGGAACCCUGAUGCAGCGACGCCGCGUGAGUGAAGAAGUAUUUCGGUAUGUAAAGCUCUAUCAGCAGGGAAGAUAAUGACAGUACCUGAAUAAGAAGCCCCGGCUAACUACGUG
rnacentral:rRNA from 1 species